rnacentral:piRNA from 1 species
UUUAAAAUCGUUGUUGCUGGG